rnacentral:lncRNA from 10 species
ACACACUUUAACCCUACAUUCAGCUUGACGAGCCAAACUCUCUGAACCACAGGAGAUAAAACUUCUGCCAUGGAACUGCUAAGGUACGCCCAAGGAAAAUAUUUUUUUUGCAGGUAGAUAAUCAGCAACCCCCCAAGACUGUGCCUGCUGCACAACUACAGAACGCAGUGGAAGACACGCUGAAUUCUGAGUCAGAAGGUUGACUUUCUAGCUGUGGGGACUUGGCCAAACCUCCUCAGAGCUUCAGUUUUCUCAUCUGUAAAAUAGAGAUCUUAAUCCCUACCAAUCUCACAGGACUGCUGAGAGUAUCAGAUGAGAUUCUCAAAGCAAUCCUGUAUGGUGAGAAUUAUUUUUAUUUUACCGACAAAGCUGCUGAAGAUCAGAGACAUUGAGUUACUCAUAGAAGAUAUACAGACAGAGCCAAGAUUCAAAUCCCUUGGGUGUCUGGCUCCAAAGUGGAAAUUUUCUCCACGGUGCCAAAGGACUCAUAAACAGAAUGUACAAAGGACUCUUACAAAUCAGUAAUAAAAGGACAAUCAAUGUUUUUAAACAAGCAGAAGACUUCGAUAAACACCACAUAAAAGAGAAUGCAUGCAUGGCCAAUGAGAACAUAAAAAAGAUGCUCAGCGUUGUUGGUCGUCAGGGAAGUGCAGAUUGAAAAUGCAAUGGGAUACCACUACACACCCGCCAGAAUGGUUAAAAUUUAAAAAUUUUAACAGUACCAAAUGUUAGAGAGGCUGUGAAGCAGCAGGAUGUUUUAUGCAUGGCCAGCAAAAGUAUAAAAUGGUAGAGCCAUUUGGAAAACUGGCAUUUUCUCAUAAAUAUUCACCUAUCAUGUGAUCUAAAAAUUCCAAAAGAAAUGAAACUAUAUGUCUACAAAAAAAGUUGGAUAAGAAUAUUCAUUGUAGCUUUAUUUCUUUUGUUGUUGUUGUUGAAACAGAGUCUCGCUCUGCCGCCCAGGCUGGAGUGCAGUGGAGCCGUCUCAGCUCACUGCAACCUCUGCCUCCCGGGUUCAAGCAAUUCUUGUGCCUCAGCCUCCCAGGUAGCUGGGACUACAGGCACGUGCCACCACACCUGGCUAAUUUUUGUAUUUUUAGUAGAGAUGGGGUUUCGCCAUAUUGGCCAGGCUGCUCUCGAACUCCUGACCUUGUGAUCCGCCUGCCUCGGCCUCCCAAAGUGCUGGGAUUACAGGCAUGAGCCACCGCACCUGGCCAUGGCUUUAUUUCUAAAAGCCAAACUUUGGAAACAAUGCCAAUGUCUAUCAAUAGACUAAAGAGAUAAAUUGAGAUUUUUCAUACUGUGAGAUAUUGCCCCACAAUAAAAAGGAGCAAACUAUUAAUGCAUACAACAACGUAGAUGAAUCUCAACAAUAUUAUGUUAAAUGAGAAGCACCAGACACAAAAGAGUACACACAAUGAACGACUCCACUUAUGUGAAGUCUAGCAACAGGAAAAACUCAUCUAUGGAAAUAGAAAUCAGAAUAGUCAUUGCCUGUGAGAAUGUAGAGGGAGGGUGGGCCACAGGAAAGGAGCAUGGGAAAAUUUUUUGGGUGAUGGCAAUUUUCACAUUUUGAUUAAACAAUUAAGUUUAAUCAAAUUAUACACUUAAGGUCUGUGCAUUUUACCAUAUGUAAUUAUGCUUUGAAUAAAAAUAAAUUAAAAUAAAGGGAUGAAAUGAGUUGCUUCUUCCAGUAUUAUGCUUUGGCACUGGAAGUAUUUAAGCUAGACUAAUGCUUAUCAGAGAUAUUGUGGACGGUUCAAAUUGGGAGUUCUGAUUAAGUAAUAAAAAACAAGCCCUCAGAUUUUAAGACUUCGGUGUGAUACUUGAUAUGUAAUGCUGAACUAAUCAUGUAUUUCGGAAUAGGCAAAACCUGCGUUCAUCUUCUAUUUUGGAGAACUCCACGUAGAUAUGGAAACUUAUGUUACCGAAAACUUUCUUGAAUCUGUUUAUUUUUCUUUUCUGAAAUUCUUCCCCUAUUUACCAUUACCUCUAACUACUUGCCUCCUGAAACGCAAACCUUUAGCCACUCUAUGUUCCUGUAUCUUAGAACAUGUGGUGUUUGCACAUUUCCUUUGUUAAACAUCCUCCCUACUCCCACUUCCCAUCAACUUCUGCCCUUCCUUGAAACUACACAGAAGUCAACUGCACCAGUAAGACUCCCCUAUAAGCCCUGUGGCCCACAGUUUUAGUCUAUUUUUGAGUCUAGAUUACCUGUAGUAUAGCAAUUAUCCCAGGCUAAAUGAUGCCAAGGUCCCUUCCCGCUCAAAGAGUCUGGCUCUUUGAACAGGGGAAUCUGGGCUUGAAGAAUGAAGAGAAACAACCAAGC